rnacentral:lncRNA from 1 species
AGUUAUUUUCUAUUUCCCCCUCUUUCAGUUACUUUAAUUUUUUCCAAAUUUAUUUUAUUUGAAGAAACAGAAUAAGUAAAAAAGAAAAAUAGAAAAGCAACACAAAAGAAAAUGAAACAAAAGAAAACAUUUAUCAUGUGAUCAGCAGAAUAUCAGGGAGGUUUCAAAAUACAUGACAUUACCAAUUUAAGAAAGUAUAUAUAUUAGCAGAAGAAAUUAUAUUCGAGUGUCCCAUCUUUUCUUUAUUUCCUUGUAAAUUGUUCUGUUCUCUGCUGAGCACCUUAUUACUUUAUUCUUUUCCCCCCUUUCAUUCCCACUACCCCCAAGCAGGCUAGUUAAGAAAGGAUAUAUUUAUGUAUACAUAUGUAAUAUAUACAUAUAUACAUAUACACACACUCCAGAUAUACAUAACUUUCCUAUACCUGCUGACUCAUUAAAUUCUGCCCCAUAACUUGGCUUACUAUUAUUUAAUCUCCCCUCACAUAGGGGGUAUCUUCUUCCCUCACCCUUUGUUUCCCCUAUUCCUCCCUCCUUAUUUCUUUACAAAUUUGGAGGAUAUAUCUUUCAUAGUAUAUCUGUAUGGUUGCAUACUCGCCUUUCUCCCUCCUCUAAUGCCUUUGUCUAUUCUUCCUCUGCAUCUCCUUUGUAUAACAUGAUCACUAUUUUUACCUUUACUUUGCCAGUCUAUCUUUUGAACUUAUCCUACUGAUGAUGUAAAUCUUAAACAUAAAAUAUACAUUUCCUAAUGCAAAAAAAAAUCUGUCCAUGUUUAAACAGUUUGUCCAUAUUGAGUUCCUUAAAAUUGCUCUUUGAUAUUGGCUUUUAUAUGAUAAAUUUUCUGUUAAAUUUGGGUUUAAUUGAUACAAAGUCCUGAAAAUCUGCAAGUUCACUGAAUGUCCAUUUUUUUCUCAUUAAAAAUUAUAGAUAAUUUUGCUGGAUAUGAUAUAUUUUGGCCAUAGGCCUAGUUCUUUUUAUUGUCAGUAGAUAUGAUCCAGGACCUGAGGUCUUUUAUUGUGGUUGUACAAUUCUUUUUUUUUUUUUUUUAGAUUUUUUUUUAAAUUAUAGCUU